CAAUAGCGUAUAUUAAAGCUGUUGCGGUUAGAAAGCUCGUAGUUGGAUUUCUGUCAAGGACAACUGGUCCGCCCUCCGGGUGAGCACAUAGUUUGGUCUUGGCAUCUUGCUGGAAACUGUUGCUGCGCUUGGUUGUGUGGUGCAGCUUUCAGCACUUUCACUUUGAGGAAAUUGGAGUGUUUCAAGCAGGCACAUGCCUUUGGACACAGUAGCAUGGAAUAAUUAGAUUGGGCUUUUGCUCCAACUUGUUGGUUCCUGGAGCUGAGGUGAGAAUCAAUGGGGAUUGUUGGGGGCAUCCGAAUUUAGCCGUCAGAGGUGAAAUUCUUGGAUCUGCUAAAGACGGACAACUGCGAAAGCGUUUGCCCAGGAUGUUUUCAUUGA
rnacentral:rRNA from 1 species